rnacentral:SRP_RNA from 1 species
GCUGGGCACAGCAGUGCGUGCCUGUAAUCCCAACUACUUGGGAGGCUGAGGCACGAGAAUUGCUUGAACCCAGGAGGUGGAGGUUGCAGUGAGCCAAGAUCGUGCCAGUGCCCUCCAGCCUGGGUGACAGAGCGAGACUGUGUCUCAA